rnacentral:lncRNA from 1 species
UGUUCCCUUGGGGUAUCUGUGUGACAGCCCCCUCCCUGUUCACAUUUUUCGGGGACCCCCUACCCCGCCAGCCAGGGCUAUCUGAAAGGUAGUUUGCUAGCUCAGUCAGCUAGUUCACUCACUGUGUUGGUGAGUGGAGAGCCACACAUCUUUCUCCAUUUUACCACUCCACUGUCUUCCCCAUCCCUGGAAAGUCCCUUCUGCAAUCUGACCUCAAUCUUUUGUGCUGCAGUUUGUCUAGAGGGGACGCAGAUGUGGGGUCAACGAUGGGGAAUCAUUGAAAAACCCAUCACCUUUCCCCUCCCCCACCUUCCCUGUUAGCCAAUCAGAUCUGAGAGACUCUGAGUGGCCUCCCUGCACCCUGCUCUUCAGCACCCAACCGGUGCUUAGUAAGUGUUUGCUGCAUUGAAUUGUUUCCUUGUUCUUCCCUAUUUGCCCUCCAGCCCCCAACACCCAUCCCACCCAGCAUUUUCCUCCUGCUCUGGUUCCCUAAGUCUUUCACUUUCUCUCCCCGUGGUUCCCAUUGUUACCUGUCUUGUCUCUAUCUUUGUCUAUGUCUGUCUUUUUCCUCAACUCUCAACCCUCUCCUUUCCUCUGUUUCCCAUUAAUUAAAAAAAAGUGCCAAACUUCCUUGGAACUGAGCCGCUCUGGGGGGAGGGAACCUCAGAUAGAGGGGAGGAAAUGGGACCAUCUCUCUUUGAGGAGGCCCCUAAGAGGCAUUGAAAAAAAGUCUGUGGACACUUAGCUCAACUGGGUCUCCCUUCUUCACCCCUCCCACCCCCAAGUUUUCUUAGAAUCUUUUGU